UGUGUGUGUGUGUGUGACUGUCUGCCUGUAACUGUGUGUGACUGUCUGCCUGUAACUGAGCAUGUGUGAUGUGUGACUGCUUGUAACUGUGUGUGUGGUUGAGACUGUCUGCCUGUAACUGUGUGUGUGUGUGUGUCUGUCUGUCUGCCUGUAAAUGUGUGUGUGUGACUGUCUGCCUGUAACUGUGUGUGUGUAUGUGUG